GCCCGGGUGGCGGAAUUGGCAGACGCGCACGUUUGAGGGGCGUGUAGGGGUAACACCCUAUCCGGGUUCAAAUCCCGGCCCGGGCACCA
rnacentral:tRNA from 1 species